UACAGAGGGUGCGAGCGUUUAAUCGGAAUUACUGGGCGUAAAGCGCGCGUAGGCGGCUUUGCAAGUCGGGUGUGAAAUCCCCAGGCUUAACCUGGGAACUGCAUUCGAGACUGCAUUGCUAGAGUAUGGGAGAGGGAAGUGGAAUUUCCGGUGUAGCGGUGAAAUGCGUAGAUAUCGGAAGGAACAUCAGUGGCGAAAGCGACACGCUGGGCCAUACCUGACGCUAAAGCGCGACAGCAUGGGGGAGCAAACGGG
rnacentral:rRNA from 1 species